GGCGUUGUGGCAGAGUGGUCUAAUGCGAUUGACUAGAAUUUCAUUCCUCUGAAACAGAUAAUCAAUUCCCUUCGGGGGCGACGGUUCGAAUCCGUCCGACGUCG